AAUAGUUUCGUACCACAAAAUGUGGCACUCUUCAGAUAAAUUGACCUAAUCAAUUUAUCUGAAGAGUGCCACAUUUUGUGGUACGAAACUAUU